rnacentral:rRNA from 1 species
UACGUAGGGUGCGAGCGUUAAUCGGAAUUACUGGGCGUAAAGCGUGCGCAGGCGGCUUUGCAAGACAGAUGUGAAAUCCCCGGGCUCAACCUGGGAACUGCAUUUGUGACUGUAAGGCUAGAGUACGGCAGAGGGGGAUGGAAUUCCGCGUGUAGCAGUGAAAUGCGUAGAUAUGCGGAGGAACACCAAUGGCGAAGGCAAUCCCCUGGGCCUGUACUGACGCUCAUGCACGAAAGCGUGGGGAGCAAACAGG